AUGUCGCUUCCUCCAGGAAGCCCCCCUGCCCAGUUCAGGGACGCCAGCUCUGGCUCCGGUGGGUCCUGCCCUUCCUUCCCCUCGGUGGCAGGACCCCCAGCCCAGCCCAGCCCCGUGUCCCGCGCACGCUGGGGCAGGGCCUGCGGGGGCCACCUGAGCCGCUCCUCCGGAACACGGGAGGGGGCCUGGCGGCAGCCCGCGCCCACCCCCGGCCCCGCCGCCUGCAGACCCUGCCUGGGAGGGGCGAGGAAAGGGUUAACUGUUCCUGGCGGCCUCGUGCUGUGUCUGCGGCAGCUCCCCCUUCCGGGGCCGCUGCAGCCGGCGUUGGCGAGGAAUGCGUGCAAUGCAGCCACGCGGGCGGCGGCAGGCGGCCGCCGGACCGGUCCCCGGUUGAGCAAUCGCCCCGCCGGUUCCUGUAACUCCAGCCCCUCCCGCCUCCCCCGCCCGCCGGCUUCCGCCCACCCCACCCCCGCCCGCCGGGGCCCUGGGGUCGCCACGGAGGGCCGGAGAGAGCGGGCGGGGAGCGGGCAGCUCGGCCCAGAGAGGCCGGGGCCUCAGCCGACGUCACACAGCCUGGGAGGCACCAGAGAAUUGGGCAACAGCCUGGGUUUGGCCUUCUGUGCCCACGCUGCAGCGGUGCACGGUGUGCACACGCACACGCGCGCACACACGCGCACACAGCGGCAGGUGAGGAGGCACAGAACCCGGUCGGUGAGCCAAGUGCUGGCCAGGCUGACCCCUCCGAGGAAGGAACAGAGAGGCCGGUGCACUUGUCCGGGGCCGCCCAGCUCUGAGGCCGCCCAGGCUGGCGGGGAACGCAGGCCAGCUGGCUCCAGGACCUGUGUUCGCAGCUCCAGAAGAAAGGGCCGGGCCACCUGGGCUGGGCGGCUUGGAGGGGGCGUGGCAAAGUGGGGGCAGCGCCCCCGGGACCCCCGGGACCCCGGAGUGACAGCCUCUUUCCCCAGGGCAGGCCGCUGGCGGAGGCGGAGGGCGGUGCCGCCCGGUGGCGGCUCCUCGCCCGCCGAGAAGGACCCCCCCCCGCCGGCUGGCGUGGACAGAUGGACAGAGCAGCCCCCACCCCCACCCCGCUCGCGGCGCUGCCCCGCGUCGCCACCUCCUCCCGAGCAGGUUUCCUUUAAGAAGCCAGAAGAUUGAUUUCCUGGCGGGCUCUGCGCCGAGGAGCCGUCCAAAUGGUUUGCGUGUCUGCAUUUUUUACUGCUCCGUUUAA
rnacentral:lncRNA from 1 species